rnacentral:lncRNA from 1 species
CUUGGUGGCCCAGUACUACUCACCACUUACCUUUUUCUAAGUCACCUUGGAGACUUUGGUUGAGGGAUUAUUUGAUCCCUUAUUGUGACCCCUUGGCAGCCCUAAUUUAGACUUAGGCUUUUCUUGUUUUUUUUAGGAUAGCCUUUAGAUACACUUGGCCCAUUAGGCACCACCUUAGGCCCGCUUAGUCUCAUCAUAGGCCCGUUUAGGCACACUUGGCCCAUUUGGACAUUUUUAGCGUGAC